CUUCCCUUCCCUGUGUUCAUCUGUUCUGUGUCAGAGUUCUGAAAAAUUCUGUAGUUGAAAAAGUCUAUUUCUCAGCCUCCUUUGUAAAAUGGAGGCUAUCUGAUACAGUUUCUCCACCGAGAUAAAUAAAAGUCAUAAACUGGAAAUUUCUGGGAAAGUUUUGUUCUAAUAAGUGCUACUGCUACCCCUUUCUUCCUUGUGAUUUUCUUCUAAUUCUUCCUGCCUGGAAAAUGGAUGGGAGGCUAGAAGUGGAGCAAUCGUUUUGUGACCAUAAAAAUAAAAACAAGAAGGAUGCUAGGUCAUUUUUAUAAUCAUGGAACCUGAACUAACUCCAAAUUGCUGUUUUAUGAGAAAAAAACAUUAUUUGGUUAAGUGUUAUAAGAGAGUUUCUUUUAUAGUCAGUCAAAUGAAAUACCUUACAUCCUCAUCAUUUUACUAAACCAAACGAUUUGCAGAACUAAAGAAUAACAAUCAUGUAGAAAUGCCACACUUAACAUACAUGGUGGUUGAGUACUGCUGAUUUCAUGCGUACCUUUCAAGGAACCAGAAACUCUAAUGUAGAAGGGUCUAUGUUUAUGAGAUAUGACUUACCAUAUAUAUGUAUGGUAUAUAAAUGUAUACAUUUAAAUUUUAAUGAGUUGCAUUUCUUCCCAUUUAUAUGUUCAGUGACUGGAAUCACCAAUCCAAUUGCAUAUUAUACAGCUGUAAACUUUAAGCUUAAAACUGAAUGUUUUGGGGGCACCUAGGUGGCUCAGUUGGUUAAUUGUCCAACUUCAUGAUCUCACAUUUCGCUUGUUCAAGCCCAUUAUCAGGCUCUGUGCUGACAGCUCAGAGCCUGGAGCCUGCUUCAGAUUGUGUCUCCCUCUCUUUCUGCCCCUCCCCUUCUCAUGCUCUGUCUCUCUCUCUCUCAAAAAUAAAUAAAAACGUUAAAAAUUUUUUAAAUGAAUGUUUUGUUCAAAAGUUUUGUUUAUAAUUCCAUGAGAAUACAACGAAUCUGCUUAAAAAAUUAUUCAUUGCAGCAAAUAGCUCAUAGCAACUCAGUUCAACUAGAAACAGUGCAUUCUACAUAAUAAAUGCUUUCUUUGUACCCACCUCUUCUAACUCUCUAGAGGGCUGCUCCACUUCAGAUGGACAGUACAGUCUUGUGUGGACAGAAGUGCCAAGGAAAAAGUAGAAGGAAGGAACAUGUAGGAGUAGUGAAAUGAGAGAGAUGAGGAACUCUAUGGAAAGCCUCUGCACAUGGGAUGUCACCACUUAUGGACAGAGACUGUUAUAAUAUGUUGAGCACAUGUGGAGGCUCCAAAUGAACAGAAGACUUUUUCAAGUGACAACAUGAAUAUUAUGGAUGAGUCUGAGACUCUACAUUCUAGGUUCCGAUCCAAUGUUACUCUUUGCAAUUGUGCAGAGCCUCAAUUCACUCAUUAAAGGAAAACAUAUAUAUCUUGUUAGCUUUACUUAUUCUGACUUGUUAAUUUGUGAGUAUAAAUUAUAUUUUAGUGUAUGUGCUUAUACUUGUGGAUAUUUUGUUCUUACAGCUUCACUGGCCCACAGCAAUUGUGUUUAAUGAAAAUCAGGUUGGUCUUGGAGUCAGAAAACCUGGUUGGAAUCCUGGUUAAGCCAUAGACCUAGUUGUAUAAUUUUGUGCAACUCAUCUAUAAGCCUCAGUUCCCCCAUCGGAAAAAUAGAGAUAAUAUACAUCUUACAGUGUGUUAUGAAGCUUUUAUAAAAUUGUGUACCUCUUCCACAGGACUCCCCAGCAAAAUGAAAGAGAUGAAAGAUAGAAGCUUUGGACAGGGGUGCAGCUAAAACAACAUGGGUUAGCAGGGGUCUCACACUCAAAUACCUACUAGUUCAUACAGAGCGACAUCUCGGAGGAGUUUUCUCUGCUUCUGCUUCAUCCUAGUGAGGGUAGCCACAUACGCUGAGCUGCAGCUUGGAAAAAAUGAUAAAAG